rnacentral:rRNA from 1 species
CAGCAGCCACGGUAAUACGUAGGUCCCGAGCGUUGUCCGGAUUUAUUGGGCGUAAAGCGAGCGCAGGCGGUUAGAUAAGUCUGAAGUUAAAGGCUGUGGCUUAACCAUAGUACGCUUUGGAAACUGUUUAACUUGAGUGCAGAAGGGGAGAGUGGAAUUCCAUGUGUAGCGGUGAAAUGCGUAGAUAUAUGGAGGAACACCGGUGGCGAAAGCGGCUCUCUGGUCUGUAACUGACGCUGAGGCUCGAAAGCGUGGGGAGCAAACAGGAUUAGAUACCCGUGUAGUCCCUGUCUCUUAUACA